GUUAUAGGGUCAAGCGAACAAGUGCAUGUGGUGGAUGCCUUGGCGAUCACAGGCGAUGAAGGACGCGGUAGCCUGCGAAAAGCUACGGGGAGCUGGCAAACGAGCUUUGAUCCGUAGAUGUCCGAAUGGGAAACCCACUCCUUUUGGAGUAUCCAUGGCUGAAUACAUAGGCCAUGCGAAGCGAACGCGGUGAACUGAAACAUCUAAGUAACCGCAGGAAAAGAAAUCAACCGAGAUUCCCAAAGUAGUGGCGAGCGAAAUGGGAUGAGCCUUGCACUCUUUAUUUGUAUUGUUAGCCGAACGCUCUGGAAAGUGCGGCCAUAGCAGGUGAUAGCCCUGUAGGCGAAAACAGUAUGAAAGAACUAGGUGUGCGACAAGUAGGGCGGGACACGUGAAAUCCUGUCUGAAGAUGGGGGGACCAUCCUCCAAGGCUAAAUACUCGUGAUCGACCGAUAGUGAACCAGUACCGUGAGGGAAAGGCGAAAAGAACCCCGGGAGGGGAGUGAAAUAGAUCCUGAAACCGCAUGCAUACAAACAGUCGGAGCCUCGUAAGGGGUGACGGCGUACCUUUUGUAUAAUGGGUCAGCGACUUACGUUCAGUAGCAAGCUUAACCGUAUAGGGCAGGCGUAGCGAAAGCGAGUCCGAAUAGGGCGUUCAGUUGCUGGGCGUAGACCCGAAACCAGGUGAUCUAUCCAUGGCCAGGAUGAAGGUGCGGUAACACGUACUGGAGGUCCGAACCCACUAACGUUGAAAAGUUAGGGGAUGAGCUGUGGAUAGGGGUGAAAGGCUAAACAAACCUGGAAAUAGCUGGUUCUCUCCGAAAACUAUUUAGGUAGUGCCUCGUGUCUCACCUUCGGGGGUAGAGCACUGUCAUGGUUGGGGGGUCUAUUGCAGAUUACCCCGCCAUAGCAAACUCCGAAUACCGAAGAGUGCAAUCACGGGAGACAGACAUCGGGUGCUAACGUCCGGUGUCAAGAGGGAAACAACCCAGACCGCCAGCUAAGGUCCCCAAAUAUAGCUAAGUGGGAAACGAAGUGGGAAGGCUAAAACAGUCAGGAGGUUGGCUUAGAAGCAGCCACCCUUUAAAGAAAGCGUAAUAGCUCACUGAUCGAGUCGUCCUGCGCGGAAGAUGUAACGGGGCUAAGCUAUAUACCGAAGCUGCGGAUGCGAGCUUGCUCGCAUGGUAGGAGAGCGUUCCGUAAGCCUGCGAAGGUGCCUUGUAAAGGGUGCUGGAGGUAUCGGAAGUGCGAAUGCUGACAUGAGUAGCGAUAAAGGGGGUGAAAGGCCCCCUCGCCGUAAGCCCAAGGUUUCCUACGCAACGUUCAUCGGCGUAGGGUGAGUCGGCCCCUAAGGCGAGGCAGAAAUGCGUAGCUGAUGGGAAGCAGGUCAAUAUUCCUGCACCAUUGUUAGAUGCGAUGGGGGACGGAUCGCGGAAGGUUGUCCGGGUGUUGGAAGUCCCGGUCGCUGCAUUGGAGAAGGCGCUUAGGCAAAUCCGGGCGCGUAAUUCAAGGGUGUGGCGCGAGCUCCCUAGGGAGCGAAGCAAUUGGAAGUGGUUCCAAGAAAAGCCUCUAAGCUUCAGUCUAACGAUGACCGUACCGCAAACCGACACAGGUGGGCGAGAUGAGUAUUCUAAGGCGCUGAGAGAACUCGGGAGAAGGAACUCGGCAAAUUGGUACCGUAACUUCGGGAUAAGGUACGCCCUUGUAGCUUGACUGGCCUGCGCCAGGAGGGUGAAGGGGUUGCAAUAAACUGGUGGCUGCGACUGUUUAUAAAAACACAGCACUCUGCAAACACGAAAGUGGACGUAUAGGGUGUGACGCCUGCCCGGUGCCGGAAGAUUAAAUGAUGGGGUGCAAGCUCUUGAUUGAAGUCCCGGUAAACGGCGGCCGU
rnacentral:rRNA from 1 species